UACGGGGGGUGCGAGCGUUGUCCGGAUUCACUGGGUUUAAAGGGUGCGUAGGUGGCUAUAUAAGUCAGUGGUGAAAGCCCGCGGCUCAACCGUGGAAUUGCCAUUGAAACUGCAUAGCUUGAGUACAGUUGAAGUGGGCGGAAUACAUCAUGUAGCGGUGAAAUGCUUAGAUAUGAUGUAGAACACCGAUUGCGAAGGCAGCUCACUAAGCUGUAACUGACACUGAGGCACGAAAGCGUGGGUAGCGAACAGG
rnacentral:rRNA from 1 species